ensembl:lncRNA
UAACUAUAACACUGUGCUUUAUUGUUUUUGGUGUGAUAACACUGUAUGACAUAUGAUACUGCCCGGUUGUAACAAGAAUAGUGUGUUUUAACACAUGGUUUACGACAUGCAUAGGACAUCAACAACAUGUAAGUGCUUAUUGUAGAUGUGCAAUACCAUGUAAUACUGUUUGUACAAUAAACAGCACAAAUACUUAAAACAAAACAGGAAGUUGUAACAUUUUUUUGGAGCCAACUUCCUCUGUAAUAUGGCUGUUGCAUUCCUUCCGUGACUUCAAAAAUUACAACUUAUCAAAAAUAUGAUUGUACCGACGCACAAAUAUCACAAUAACAUGGCUGUUUACAGCAACGAUGCAUAGCAGAGUAACCAGAAAAUUAUUACAAACUAAUACAAAACAUAAACAAUUAUUACAAAAUAGUACAAGUAUUACGAUAUUGUUACUUAGUACAGAAGUGCAAGACAGUUUUAUGAGUCGUUGGUGUCUUGGAAUUCAGCUGAAAGGCAGUUUUAUGAGUCGUUGUCGUUGGUGUCUUGGAAUUCAGCUGAAAGACAGUUUUAUGAGUCGUUGGUGUCUUGGAAUUCAGCUGAAAGACAGUUUUGUAAUGAGUCGUUGGUGUCUUGGAAUUCAGCCGAAAGACAGUUUUGUAAUGAGUCGUUGGUGUCUUGGAAUUCAGCUUAAAGGCUUGUGCUCGUGUCUAAAUCCAACUCAGUUCAUUAAUUCACAAUCAGGUCUCAAGAUCAACCUGGAAUCUGAUUAACAGACUGAUUAACUGACUGAUUAACUGAUUAACUGAUUAACUGAUUAACUGAUAACUGAUUAACAGACAUAUUAAUGUAUUUGUAUUUUUGGCAUGUCAUCAAAUUUAAUUGAAUAUCCAGUACCAGUCAAAAGUUUAGACACACCUACUCAUUCAAGGGGUUUUCUUUAUUGGGGUUUUUCUUUAUUUAGAAGAGACUUGCUUGAGCCAAGAAACACGACAUUGGACAGUUGGAUGUCUGUCCUUUGGUCUGGAGUCCUAAUUUGAGCCAAGAAACCAAGAAGGAGAGUGAUGGAGUGCUGCAUCAGAUGACCUGGCCUCCACAAUCACCCGACCUCAACCCAAUUGAGAUGGUUUGGGAUGAGUUGGACCGCAGAGUGAAGGAAAACCAGCCCAAACUGCUCAGCAUAUGUGGGAACUCCUUCGAGACGGUUGGAAAAGCAUUCCAGGUGAAGUUAGUUGAGAGAAUGCCAAGAGUGUGCAAAGCUGUCAUCAAGGCAAAGGGUGGCGACUUUGAAGAAUCUCAAAUAUAAAAUAUAGUUUGAUGAACACUUUUUUGGUGAUUCCAUGUGUGAUUCCAUGUGUGAUUCCAUGUGUGAUUCCAUGUGUGAUUCCAUGUGUGAUUCCAUGUGUGAUUCCAUGUGUGAUUCCAUGUGUGAUUCCAUGUGUGAUUCCAUGUGUGUUAUUUCAUCGUAGAAAAUAGUUUUUAAAAAGAAAGAAAAACCCAAACUUUUGACUGGUACAUUUUCACUGCAUUAUUUUAUCCAAAAUGAUUAAAGAUCUCUCCUUCACCCUUCACUGGAAUUUAGAGAAUAAAUAAUUGGAAUUACAUCAACAAAUCCUUCUAAAAAAUAGACCUUAAAUGGACUUCUAUGGGAGAAAUAAAUAAAGACACAUGACUGACAACAUAACAGAGUCUGACAGGCGUUGCAGCCUUACAUGGCAUUACAAUCUAGGAUUUUACAAACAAUGAAUUGUCAACAACUUCACUGGUCCACGUCUCUACAAAUAAGGUGUCCUUGUGUGAUCAAAGACGAGAAUGUUGUCACUUGUUUGUAGAAGAACCAGCAUUCGGAAUGAGAAGACAUCAGAAAUGAAGCUUUCUAAACACAUUGGAACAGUUAAAUACACUUCAACAUUACUGAAGCAAAUACCACAUUGCUUGUCGUCUUUCUUUGGUCAUUUCCUAAUAAAGAAUUUCCUGACCUUCAAUAAUACUAUCCGUCUCUCUCUCUCCUCCUCCCUUCCUCUCCUCUCUCCUCUUCUCCUCUCCCCCUUCUCCUCUCCUCUCCUCCUCUCCCCUCCUCUCCUCUCCUCCUCUCCCUCUC